UGUUCAUUAUAGAUGAUCGUCCCGACUAAGUCGGGAAGGAAAGUCCGAACUCCCCAUAAACCGAUAAUGGUCUGUGGUCGUGGUAGUGGGUAACACCCACCAGCGUAUUGGCGACAAUACGUUCGGGACAGUGCCGCAGAGACAAUACUAUCCGCCUUGGGCGGAGAAAGGUGAAAAGUGAACGGGUGUUUUUGAUCUCGAGUCAAAAGCUACUGUUCUCGCUUCCUGGCAACAGGAAAAUGUGGUAAACCCUACCUGGAGAAAGUACAGUGUUUCCCGAUUUUAUCGGGAUUCAAAAAGUUAGUACGUUAGAUCCCAACAGUAAUGUUGGGACUAGAGAAAUGAUCGUCCUAGACAAAAUUCGGCUUAUAGUAAUGAACAAGAU
rnacentral:RNase_P_RNA from 1 species